AUUGGCCAGCCCACCCCCUGCCUGUCUAGUCCCAAACAAAAGCCUUUCAAAAGAUCCCAACUUUCGUGCCCCAGCCAGCCCGGGCCCUCCGCCCGUCUAGUCCCAAACGAAAACAUUUCAAAAACCCCAACUUCCCUGCCUCUGGUCCAAAACCCCUAGAAACAAUAUCAAAACGUGGCAAACCCUGCAUCUCUCACCUGCAAAUCUCCACUCCUGUACCGUUUUGCGGGCUCUUCCCGCAAACCCAUCUCCCAGUUUGGCCAACAAAUUCGAGUUCCUGUAAACUCGGUUGAAAUAAGCGUUUUUAGGGGCUAUUACUAACGUUCAUUGAAUUCUAUUCAUGUUACUGGGUUUAAGUCGUCGGGUAGUUUCAAAAUGGCAUUUGGGCGACCGGGUUUUGAUCGUCUUCGAUUUUCAGCGGCCUCGGAAGGCGCCCCAGGUGUAGCCGCUGGUGGUGGUGGUGAUUUUGAAGGCCCUCGCGGAGGAAGAAGUGAAGGUGGUGGUUUUGGUGCUGGUGCUGGUGGUGGAGGGAGCAACUGGUCCUUCCUGUCAUGGUAUUUGGCUCUUCUUGCACAGUAUCCUGUGUAAACAAAAGCGUUGACAUCUGCACUUCUAACUUUGAUUGGAGACUUAAUCUGCCAGGUGGACUUUGCUUAAGACAAAUAUGUUCCGUUUGUUUACAUUUGAUUUUUCAUUGCUUAACUGUUUUCAUGCUGUGUUGAUUAUAGAAACCAGGCGCUUCAUCUGGUUAUUGUUUUGAAUAUUGCAUAAGUUGAUAUAUUUUCAUAUAUGGUAUGGUUUAAUAAGCUAUUUCAGCUUUGUUACUA